rnacentral:rRNA from 1 species
CUUCAAACCCAACUACACCCUUAACUACCACAACCGCACAACCUCUUAGGGCCCUGUAUAGUUGGUUUUAGGUUGGGGCGACCACGGAGUACAACCAAACCUCCGCAAUGGACGGGACCACUCCCUUAUCUAAGAGCCACACCUCUAAGAAUUAAAACACUAACAUAAAAUGAUCCAUGAUCUGAUCAAUGAACCAAGUUACCCUGGGGAUAACAGCGCAAUCCAUUUCAAGAGCCCUUAUCGACAAGUGGGUUUACGACCUCGAUGUUGGAUCAGGGUAUCCUAGUGGUGCAGCAGCUACUAAUGGUUCGUUUGUUCAACGAUUAAAACCCU